UAAAUUAUGUGAUAUUAUGUAAUUAUAUUUGAUAUUUGUAUUUUUAUAGUAUAGCUUAGUUUGAUUUUUAAGAUGGGGGAGCUACAAUCCUUGUCGCCACCAUCGAAUAUGUUCCGAACGAUACGAGAAGUUUCGUACUAUACUACUGGAUAGUUAAAGACAAGCGUCCUCUUGUGCCUUUGAAUUUCGAUUAUUGACACGUGUACGUUUAGCCUUCUUUUUCUCUAACUUUAUAUACAUUUUUAAAAGAUUAAUCUAAUAAAUACGAAAAUGAGGAUACUUUGCGUACUGUUCGCUUUGCUAGUGAUCACUGUCACUUCGUUAGCUCGUCCUCAGGAGCCAGCAAAUUCGAACCACACUACAACUGCUCAACCUUUGACGCCUACAA
rnacentral:lncRNA from 1 species